rnacentral:rRNA from 1 species
CUACGAAGGUCCCAAGCGUUAUUCGGAAUCACUGGGCGUAAAGAGUACGUAGGCGGUUUGGUAAGUCAGGUGUGAAAUCCCGAAGCUCAACUUCGGAACUGCAUCCGAUACUGCCAGACUAGAGUAAUGGAGAGGCAGGUGGAAUUCUCGGUGUAGCAGUGAAAUGCGUGGAUAUCGAGAGGAAGACCAAUGGCGAAGGCAGCCUGCUGGACAUUUACUGACGCUGAGGUACGAAGGCUAGGGGAGCGAAAGGGAUUAGAUACCCCAGUAGUCC